CUGGNGAGGCUUUAGCUUAAUUAAAGUGCCUGGGUUGCAUUCAGGAGAUGUGUUUAGAAUUUCACAGGU
rnacentral:tRNA from 1 species